AAGGGAUUAGUGGGGGAUAGAGGGAAAGCGACCAUGUAACAUUAAACCAUUAAUUAAUUUUAUUUCCAAAGGUGUUAAGUAACAAUUAGAAUCUUUGGAAGGUGUUAUUUGCGACAUUAGCAUGAUUUAGUUGAAAUUCAUCGAUUGGAAUUUUAUCGGUUUUGGUGGCUGUUUGUUGGUCGAUUGUAAGCGUGUUGUAGGCCUACUCGUGGUGGUGGAAUUGUUGGUUUUUGUGAUGUUUAUGGAUUUUCGGUUCGGGAGAUGAGCUGAUUGAUGCUGAAAGAUGUCGUGAUCAGGUUCGUUUCAUGCAUGCCAAUAAAAUACGCAGAAGCUUGUCUAAUCAGCGUGGUCAAAUUCAAAUUGCGAUAAGCUGGAGCAGAAAUGUCACAAAUACGAUAAGAUUCAGACGAUUCAGUUUUUAUCUGUAACGAAAUUCCACCACAAUGCAGCUGUUCAGUCUUAAAAUUUUGGUAUUCCAUCGGAUAUGCUAUUUACUCGAUUUCAAGCUGAUUUACGCGAACGUUGGAUAAUUUUGUGGGUAAUUGUCCGAAAUAGAAUUGGUUUCUUCGGCAGACCCUGGCCUGGUUUUACCGUAUUUCGCAUCUUUGGCUUCCGCUUCCUAGAAGAUGAAACAUUUUUAUUAAUGAGGUUUUUAAGGCCUAUAAGCGUACCCUAUUGGAGUAUUGGUACAUGCAUUGUACUAAAUCAAAUUGAUGUAUUGAGAUUGCUUUGUAUUGCGGUGUAUUCGAUAAGAGAAGAUUAUACAAUGUUGGAAGUGAUGAUUAAGAUGUUCUUGAAGAAUAUCAA